rnacentral:rRNA from 1 species
UGCUAAUACCGGAUAACAACACUAGACGCAUGUCUAGAGUUUAAAAGAUGGUUCUGCUAUCACUCUUGGAUGGACCUGCGGUGCAUUAGCUAGUUAGUAAGGUAACGGCUUACCAAGGCAAUGAUGCAUAGCCGAGUUGAGAGACUGAUCGGCCACAUUGGGACUGAGACACGGUCCAAACUCCUACGGGAGGCAGCAGCC